CACAAAUGAAAUAAAUUGAAAACCAAAGAUGUAGAAGAAAGAUGAUGAUGUGGUUGGUUUUCAUGGGUUCUCUCAUCUAGACUGGUAUCCAUGUUUACAUUUUCAUGGCUUGAAUAGUGCAAUAGAUCUACUAAUAAGUAAAGUAUAUUAAAAAAAAAAAAAAAAAAUUCUUGGCACCAGCAUAAUUAAUUUGAUAGGAAACAUAAAUUAGACCAAAACCCUGUUCUUUAGAUUACGUGUAAGAAAACAAAAACAUUGUGCUGCUUCUUCCCCUUUAAAACAAAAGCAGCAACCAGAAAAACCUUCCUUAUUGAAAACUAAACAGUAUAGCUCAACCAUUGAGAGAUCAGUGUAAGCUGUCCUCUUUUCCAGUUACCUCUUAAUCCCUUCAGUACCAAACACUUUUUUUUUUUUUGAG